GAUGAACGCUGGCGGCGUGCCUAAUACAUGCAAGUCGAGCGAACGGACGAGAAGCUUGCUUCUCUGAUGUUAGCGGCGGACGGGUGAGUAACACGUGGAUAACCUACCUAUAAGACUGGGAUAACUUCGGGAAACCGGAGCUAAUACCGGAUAAUAUUUUGAACCGCAUGGUUCAAAAGUGAAAGACGGUCUUGCUGUCACUUAUAGAUGGAUCCGCGCUGCAUUAGCUAGUUGGUAAGGUAACGGCUUACCAAGGCAACGAUGCAUAGCCGACCUGAGAGGGUGAUCGGCCACACUGGAACUGAGACACGGUCCACACUCCUACGGUAGGCAGCAGUAGGGAAUCUUCCGCAAAGGGCGAAAGCCUGGCGGAGCAACGCCGCGUGAGUGAUGAAGGUCUUCUGAUCGUAAAACUCUGUUAUUAGGGAAGAACAUAUGUGUAAGUAACUGUGCACAUCUUGACGGUACCUAAUCAGAAAGCCACGGCUAACUACGUG
rnacentral:rRNA from 1 species